GACGAACGCUGGCGGCAUGCCUAACACAUGCAAGUCGAACGAGACCUUCGGGUCUAGUGGCGCACGGGUGCGUAACGCGUGGGAACCUGCCCUUAGGUUCGGAAUAACUCCCCGAAAGGGGUGCUAAUACCGGAUAAUGUCUUCGGACCAAAGAUUUAUCGCCUUUGGAUGGGCCCGCGUUGGAUUAGCUAGUUGGUAGGGUAAAAGCCUACCAAGGCGACGAUCCAUAGCUGGUCUGAGAGGAUGAUCAGCCACACUGGGACUGAGACACGGCCCAGGCUCCUACGGGAGGCAGCAGUGGGGAAUAUUGGACAAUGGGCGAAAGCCUGAUCCAGCAAUGCCGCGUGAGUGAUGAAGGCCUUAGGGUUGUAAAGCUCUUUUACCCGGGAUGAUAAUGACAGUACCGGGAGAAUAAGCUCCGGCUAACUCCGUG
rnacentral:rRNA from 1 species